rnacentral:rRNA from 1 species
UACAGAGGUCUCAAGCGUUGUUCGGAUUCAUUGGGCGUAAAGGGCGCGUAGGUGGCGCGUUAAGUCAGGUGUGAAAUUUCGGAGCUUAACUCCGAAACUGCAUUUGAUACUGGCGUGCUUGAGGACUGGAGAGGAGACUGGAAUUCAUGGUGUAGCAGUGAAAUGCGUAGAGAUCAUGAGGAAGACCAGUGGCGAAGGCGGGUCUCUGGACAGUUCCUGACACUGAGGCACGAAGGCCAGGGGAGCAAACGGG